GUAUUUUUGAAUGAAGGUAUGUAGAUUUUUUUUUUUAGACAUAAUGCUACUGCACACUUAAUUGACUACAGUAUAGUGUAAACAUAACUGUUAUAUGCACUGGGAAACCAAAACAUUUGUGUGACCCUCUUGCAAUAUUCACUUUAUUGUGGAGGUCUGGAACUGAACCCACAGUGUCUCCCAGGUCUGCCUCUAUAAAAUCCAUGGUUUGUCUGGAAUAUCAUUUCCCUAUUCCCACCCCCACCUUUCCUUCUCCUUUUCCCACCUUGGGCCCUCUUCCCAGGUCUUGGUGCCAUAAAGCGCAAUUCCACCUGCAAUGGCUUAUGGGAUCUUAGUUCCCCAACCAGGGAUCGAACCUGGGCCCUGGCAGUGAAAGCGCCGAGUCCUAACCAGGGAAUUCCCAAAAACACAGUUUAAAAGAAGAGAAGAAAUGGGUAAGACGCAGAUAACACCUCUUCCCCUGGCCUGUUUUCUCAUCUGUUAGUAAAGGGGCUGGACGGCUCAUGUUCGUGACUUUCUACACCCAGAAGCCACAGCUCUUCACGCUCCUGGUCCCCCCACUGGUCUGGGGGGAGGUUAGAAGCCCAAAGGACAAACUUGAGGUUCCUGGCCUUCCUGGCCACCCCCCUCGGUUGUUUUAUUAGUAUUGUCAGGGGUGCCCCAAGCUUUAUUAAAUUUUCCUUACAUUUAUGUCAUUGUUUCCAAUGACAGUGGCUCAGGCCCCAGCAUGUCAGUAAAUUCCAAGCUUUUGAUGUCCACUUCACACAUAAGGAGGUGAGAAUUUAUUUUUGAAUGUCAUUCAAUUUUUCAAUACCUAAAUAGACUAAAAACAAAAA